GCGGAAGGAAACUAAUACAAGUCAGAAACUUGGACUCACACAGGGAAAGGAAGAGCAUCAAAGGAGAAAUCAGUCGAGCCAAGCCGUUGCGGCUCUUUUUCUGAGUCUGAACUUCUUCGUGAUAAAGACAGCCGAGCGGGGGAAAUUAAAGAAACAACUACGACGAAAUGGCUCCAGGGUAAACUAUUAAGCGCCAAAGGCAACGGGCAAGAGACUGCGUGUGGAAUGAUUCCAUUUGCAUAAAUGGAAAACUAGGAAAUUUAUUUACAGUACAAGUUCCUAGAUGUGGACCUGCUGGGUCAGAGAGCAUUGUCCAGCUUUAAUUUUCAGAGAUAUUGCCAAAGUGCUCUGCAAAGAGAUCGCCCGAAACUGCCCUCUCCCAGCGGUAAGUGAGAAUGCGUAUGUCUCUUCUUUGCCAGUGUAGCUGUUAACAAAUUGGUGGAUCGUUGCCGAUCUGAUAAUGAAAAAAAAUGUAUUUUCUUGAUAUUUUAAUCUGCAUGUUUAAAAGUAUAAGUGAAAGUAAGCCUUUUGUCACUAUUUAUUGGCCACUGGGAUUUCUUGUUCUGAGAACUGCUUAUUCAUGUCUUGUCCCAUUUUUCUGUGAGGUUCUUCAUCUUUUUCUUACUGAUUUAGU